rnacentral:rRNA from 1 species
AUACGGAGGAUGCGAGCGUUAUCCGGAUUUAUUGGGUUUAAAGGGUGCGUAGGCGGACGAUUAAGUCAGCUGUGAAAUGCCCGCGCUUAACGCGGGAAGUGCAGUUGAUACUGGUUGUCUGGAGUGCCGUUGCCGUGGGGGGAAUGUGUAGUGUAGCGGUGAAAUGCAUAGAUAUUACACAGAACGCCGAUUGUGAAGGCACCUCCCGAAGAGGUAACUGACGGUGAGGCCCGAAAGCGUGGGGACUGAACAGGAUUAGACCCCCUGGUAGGCGGCGCAGUAACCGAUGAAGACUAACGGUGGGCGAGAGUCCGCCGGUGGCCAAGCGAAAUCGAAAAGUCAGCCACCUGGGUAGUACGAUCGCAAGGUGGAAACUCAAAGGAAUUGACGGGG